GCCUGGGCUCGGGUCCCUCUUCUCACCUUUCCCUUUCUUGCGUUGCAACCGUAACUUGGUAAAACCCUUCUUGAUCUUCCUCUCUCACCUCCUUUCAAACACAUGCUUGCAGGCUUUUUCCCGAUCUCAUCCUCAGGGCAGAUACGCUCCCUUGAUUCUGAGGUCUUUGAACUUGCCGUGAAGCCACACUACCUGCGUCCCAGGGUCUCCAGCUUGCAGAUGGACUGUGGUGGGACUUCUCAGUCACCAAGGUCGUGUGAGCCAAUUCCCCUAAUACAUCCCCUCUCAUCUAUCUAUAUCAGUAGAGAUACCAAUAUCAGUAUAGAUAUAGCUCCUAUUGGUUCUGUCUCCCCAGACAGCCCUCACAAACACAGUUCCUGAACCCACCUCACACUGCUCCACCCCACACCCAGACAAACGCACACAUAGAGGUAGGCAGGUAAAUACAUAGAUCAAUAGAUUUAUACAAACUGUGAGCAUCACGCCUGAAGAGAACUCCCUAUUUCCACACCGUGUUGCCACAGCACUCCUACUUCCCACAUCUGCCUCCAAAUUGGCAUUCUUCCUUCCAUCUCUGCUCAUAGGUCAGGCGACCCACCAUGUGGUCACACCCCUUGCCGAGGACCACAGUUUCACAGACACUGUGCCUUCCAGCCACCCCGCUGUCCUGCCGCAGCCAUGGGAAUGUGGAGUUUCAGCAGUCCUCGUGGUGUUCCUCAUGCUGACCCUGCUGAGUUCCAGCCAUCUCACCGGAUCCAGUGGCUUGGGAGUUUGGGUUCAUAAGGAUUUGAGCUCUGCUAACAUCCCUGACAGGAAAGAAGCAGGGUAGCUUUUAGGGACAAACCAUUCCAAGGAGAAGGAUCACUGCACAAGGACCCUCUGACUCUCUCCCCAGAAUCUCCCCUCUCUCUACAGUGCUCUAAAUUCUGUCCUCAUCAUCCCUGCAGUGUCUCUUCCCCAUUUCUCCUCUACCAUAGACAUAGACAAAGCAUCACCCAAAAAGGGAGAGGGAAAUACGACUGGGAAUUCUUUAGAGACUGUGUCUGUAUCUGGGAUCAGUUGCGAAGCAGAAGUAUGACGUGACUAAGGCCACCGCUGGGUUAGGAUACCCCCAUCCAAGGUCAGGUUCUUAACUUCACUUAGCUCUGA
rnacentral:lncRNA from 1 species